rnacentral:rRNA from 1 species
AACGCGAAGAACCUUACCUGGGCUUGAACCGCACAGGACCAGCUUUAGAAAUAGAGCCUUCCCGCAAGGGACCUGUGUAGAGGUGCUGCAUGGCUGUCGUCAGCUCGUGCCGUGAGGUGUUGGGUUAAGUCCCGCAACGAGCGCAACCCUUGUCCUGUGUUGCCACUCCCGUAAGGGAAGCACUCUCAGGAGACCGCCAGCGAUAAGUUGGAGGAAGGUGGGGAUGAUGUCAAGUCAUCAUGGCCUUUAUGUCCAGGGCUACACACGUGCUACAAUGGACGGUACAAAGCGCUGCAAACCCGCGAGGGGGAGCCAAUCGCAAAAAACCGUUCUCAGUUCGGAUCGCAGGCUGCAACUCGCCUGCGUGAAGCUGGAAUCGCUAGUAAUGGUGUAUCAGAACGAUACCGUGAAUACGUUCCCGGGCCUUGUACACACCGCUCGCGA